GAAACUGAGCCCCAGAUCCAGCCAAUCACUUAGCUCCUCAUAACAAGUCUAACUGGCUCUGGAAAGCUGAAAGGACUGCACUAGAACAACAAAGAUGAGAUAUUCCACACAAUAAUGUGCUUAUGUGGAAUCACAUUUCCCUGCAAGGCCAGAGAAAAAUCACAGCUUCGCUGUCGGAGGGAAGGAGAACAGAUGACCUGGAAGAAUGUGACUAGAUCUGGAGCAAGAUCUUGUCUGGCAUGGCAAUCCCAACCGUGCCUGCAUUAAGGGACCAAGCUACCCCCGGAAGUCCAAGGGCAACUACAACAGCAAAGCCGGAGUGCUGCUACCUAUGAUGACUACGUGAGAAGCAAAACUUCUAAGGAAGUGGGUUUCCUAAAUGUUGUUCCCUUUACUCCCAGAUAACAUGGAUACUCUAGUCUAAAAUAGUUUCCUAUUCCCUUAAUAAAAUUCCAUUAAAAUCCCCUUCAACUCCUA